rnacentral:lncRNA from 1 species
UUAGUUUGCUUUAACCUACUUACUAUUGGGCAUAAAUGGGUAUUUGUGAAGCAAAAUCAAAGAUGAGAUUGCUAGGCCCUUCGUAUCUAUCAACAGUUAUUAACUGCUCAUUUGUAUUGUUGCAGCGUAAGUGGAAGUAUGGGAGAUAACAUCUCUGUUAUCAGUUAUGUACAUUAGAGCUCCUCACGUGAGUUACAGGACGCAGUAGAAGGCAACUGCAAGAGGAAAUACUGGAAGCCCACACAGUUCUCAGAGUCCAAUGCAACAGGCUGUAUGUACCUUGGACUGGAACCCCAGCGGUGUUUUCUGCUGAAGCCCUCGGUCUAGCCCAGGGUGUUCACCAAAAUGGAGCAUAUUUGGGCACUCACCUCCUGCGCAAGCUCAGUGUAACCAAACCAGGCCACCAUGGUACCACAGUUAAAGAUCAUGGAGAACAUCGGGUGAAAAAAUUGCUUUCCAUCUGA